CGCCCCCAGCCCGAGUGGUCCUCCCGUCUCUGCAGACACGCUGGGCCUCUCCCAGCUCCAGGCCUCUGCGGGCACAGGUCCCGCUGCCUGGGACACGCUGCCUGGGACACGCUCUCUCCCCUUCCCAGGGCGGCUUCUCCUCCUCCAGGUCUCAGCUGAGACGUCACGCCCUCAGAGAGCCCCCAGCAGCCUGACCCACCCGAACGCCCUUGUCGUGUGUGACGGGAUCUUGCUCGCUGCCUCCUCUGCUGGUUUGUCCUGUCCCCCCAGAAGGUCAGCUCCCCGAGGGGCAGGCCCGCCCGCCCCAUUCGUGCUGUGCCCCCAGACCGAGCACGGUGCCCGGCAAGUCCCUGUCCGCUGGGCGAAUGCUCUGGAUGCACCUGGGCGUGGCCAAAUGCCCGCCUUUGCCGAAGGCUGCAGUGACCUCACUGCCCAAGGAGAGGUCCUGAAACAGCGGGUGCCUAAUAGGUAUCCGUGGAGGCACCCACGAGGCACGCACGCGUCCCCCCAGCUCCCGAGGCAGGGCCACUGUUCCUUCCACUUUAUGACGGAUGGAAGUGAAACUGAGCACGACCUUAGCUGGGAAGUGGACAAUCGGGGCCUGGUGACAACAGUGACAACGGUGGGGUCAGUGUGAGGGUGAAAUGAGGAGUCACCUGCUCAGCACUUUGGGAACUCCACUGCCCCGAGAGUGGGGCCAUCAAGGUCCUGACCCGACCUCGUGCUUCCCAGACAAAGAACUGAGGCCACAAAGGUCGGGGGACCCCCGUGAGGACACGCAGCCGCUGAGGCCUCUCCACUGCCAGGUCCUAGCAGGCGGCCCCGCAGGGGCAAGAGGGCACAGUGUCGUGUCCACACGCAGCGUUCAAACCCCAGCCAUGACACUCAUUGGCUGUGUGGCAUUGGACAUGUCACUCUACCUCUCUGAGCAUCAGUUUUCUCUUUGAAAUAGGGAGAGGUCUAACCCGAUGAGCCAACUAAUG
rnacentral:lncRNA from 1 species